CAGCAGGUCUGGUGUCUGGGCUGGUCUGGUGUCUGGUGAGGACCCGUUUUCUGUGCUACUGAUGGCCAUAUAUGUUCCUUAGCUAUAAUCUCACAUGGUGGAAUGGACAAGGGAUUGCUCUGUGGCCCCUUUUAUAAGGGCACUAAUUCUCCCUUCAGGGGGCUCCACUCACAUGACCUAAUCACCUCUCCAAAGCCUCAUCUCUUAAUACCCUCAUCUGGGGGGUUAAGAUUUCAACAUAUGAAUUUGGCAGAGACACGGACAUUCCAUUUAUACCAGCACCUCUUUAUAUUAGGUUUCAUGCAAGCAAGCCCCGUCUUUCCCCAAUAUCCCACCCUUCACUUCUGUCCUGGAAACUUCGGGGACGCCAAUCAUGUACUCUUUUUUACAGCAAUUAGCUUUCUCCAUCCGCUGGUGCUGCUCCGCAGUCCUCCGCUCUCCCUCCUUCCUCUUCUUAACCUGGGGAGGGCAGAGGGAUGAUUGUCACUAACACCCAGGACCAGCAGAGGGCAGAAGAGAGUAGCAGGAACCUCCAGUGGAGCAAAAUGAGGGACUCUCCUCUCAGUUAAGCAGCUCCAGGACUCUACCUCUCAUCAAGGCUGACCAGAAGCAAGAUGAUGGAAGCCAAGAGAGCUCCUCUGCAUGCUCCACUGUCUAAGCUCUGCUCUGCAUCUGCCGUGAUUCUUCUUCCAAACAGAAAACACCGUCUUUCUUUUUGACUACAUCUGUCCUCAGAGAUGGUGCUGAUGGAUCCAUUUAUAAUUUAUGUGAAUUUAAACCUUUGCAAUUUUUACAUGGAAUAAAAGGACCUAUUUUCUGGAAAGAAAAUGCUGAACAAGAGCUGAGAACCUGGGGCAAUCUAAGGCAGGGGUUCCUCCCUAACACCCCUGCUGUCAGAAGCCAGCUGGUUGGCCAUAGAUCACUUCACCUAACACCCAGUGCCCAGUCACAUUUGCCCCCAAAUUGUACAACUCAAGCUUAACUUUCACAUAUUUUAAGAUAGUGUCAGCCCCUUUUGCAAUAUGUAGAUGAUACUUUUUGUUUGUCAUUUACCAUUUCAAAAAAAUUAAAGCAUAUUGAAUAUCUAACUUAAA